rnacentral:rRNA from 1 species
AGAACGAACGCUGGCGGCAGGCUUAACACAUGCAAGUCGAGCGCCCCGCAAGGGGAGCGGCAGACGGGUGAGUAACGCGUGGGAACAUACCCUCCGGUUCGGAAUAGCUCAGGGAAACUUGGAUUAAUACCGGAUACGGCCUAGCGGCGAAAGAUUCAUCGCCGGAGGAUUGGCCCGCGUUCGAUUAGCUAGUUGGUGAGGUAACGGCUCACCAAGGCGACGAUCGAUAGCUGGUCUGAGAGGAUGAUCAGCCACAUUGGGACUGAGACACGGCCCAAACUCCUACGGGAGGCAGCAGUGGGGAAUAUUGGACAAUGGGCGCAAGCCUGAUCCAGCCAUGCCGCGUGAGUGAUGACGGCCUUAGGGUUGUAAAGCUCUUUCGCUAGGGACGAUAAUGACGGUACCUAGACAAGAAGCCCCGGCUAACUUCGUGUCAGCAGCCGC